AGUGAACGCUGGCGGUAGGCCUAACACAUGCAAGUCGAACGGCAGCACAGUAAGAGCUUGCUCUUACGGGUGGCGAGUGGCGGACGGGUGAGGAAUACAUCGGAAUCUACUUUUUCGUGGGGGAUAACGUAGGGAAACUUACGCUAAUACCGCAUACGACCUACGGGUGAAAGCAGGGGAUCUUCGGACCUUGCGCGAUUGAAUGAGCCGAUGUCGGAUUAGCUAGUUGGCGGGGUAAAGGCCCACCAGGGCGACGAUCCGUAGCUGGUCUGAGAGGAUGAUCAGCCACACUGGAACUGCGACACGGUCCAGACUCCUACGGGAGGCAGCAGUGGGGAAUAUUGGACAAUGGGCGCAAGCCUGAUCCAGCCAUACCGCGUGGGUGAAGAAGGCCUUCGGGUUGUAAAGCCCUUUUGUUGGGAAAGAAAAGCAGCAGGUUAAUACCCCGCUGUUCCGACGGUACCCAAAGAAUAAGCACCGGCUAACUUCGUG
rnacentral:rRNA from 1 species